CUUGAUAAUAUUACAGAGAAGAGCGAGAGUUGGCAAUGUCCUGCAGGCUGGGCAGAGAGCAGCCAGUGAUCCUCUGGGCCAUGUUGAUCACCCUCUGCUGUGCUCUCCUGUCUGCUGCUGAGCGCCCACCGUACCACGCUGUAAUGCAGUA